GAGACAUGUCACUUUAUAACUUCUCAGAGAUGGUUUCUACUCCUUUAUAGCUUAAGAGUUUAAUGGCAGCGGCAAGAAGAUUAAAAGUUUCAGAACAAUACAAUACCACCAGUGCAAACACUACCUCCUUUGAGAUUCUUUUCCACUUGUGCACUUAAAAAAACUGAAGACAGACAGCUUAACUGAUGAGACAUAUCAGAAACCUGGAAAAGACAAGGAAAUGAUAACUCCUGGUACUCAAUAUUACAUCUACUAAUCACCUCCAUCAAUUUGUACGUUGGUGGGCAAAACUGAUGUUUUGUCUAAUAUAACUUCAAAAAAUUAAAAUCAAACUUCUACAACUUCUGCUACUCAGUUUAUCGCUGACAUCAUCUGCAAGCCCUAAUUUACCUGUGUUACUGUCCCACAAAACAUGGUGCAUUUUGCAUGCACAUGUGUCCAGCGACUCUUCCAUGAAACAGGGUUAAAAUCUUGACCCCACGCCUAGUUCUGUAACAUCUCAGGACUAUGACCAAGGACCUGUGAGAAGAAUAACAAGAUGCAUUAUAGAAUCAUAGAAUCAUAGAAUGGUUUGGAUUGGAAAGGACCUUAAAGAUCACCUAGUUCCAACCCCCUUGCCACAGGUACAGUCACCUUCCACUACAAAAGGUUGCUCAAAGCCUCAUCCAAUCUGGUAUUCAGAAUUAAGAGAAGAGUAAGAAGAAAGAUGAAUAACAAUGACUGCAUUUUCAAAGCAAGAUUUGCUUGACAGUUGUUGAGUAUAGGUGGAAAGAAAGUAGCUGAAGUACUACAUCUGUGCAUCUCAAACGCGUGGAGCUAAGAAUACAACCUGCGGAGACAUUAGUGGCAACUGAUACAAGGAAGCCAUCCACGACCUCCUACUGUUGACAAAACUAGCAGCAAUUCCUAUUUGAAGUGUACCAGAAGAUGAUCCUCCUCAGCAGAAGCUGCUGCUUUAGAGCAUUUACAGGAUUUAUCUCUAAAUUAAUAUUUUCAUUGAACACUCUCACUAUACACCUUACAUAAUCUUUAUAGCAAAACGCUAGAAGGAUGUCCUGAGAAUUGACUGCUGAAG